rnacentral:rRNA from 1 species
GACGAACGCUGGCGGCGUGCUUAACACAUGCAAGUCGAACGGAAAGGCCCUGCUUGCAGGGUGCUCGAGUGGCGAACGGGUGAGUAACACGUGGGUGAUCUGCCCCUUACUUUGGGAUAAGCCUGGGAAACUGGGUCUAAUACUGGAUAGGACCAUGCUGUAGGUGGUGUGGUGGAAAGAUUAGUUUCGGUAAGGGAUGAGCUCGCGGCCUAUCAGCUUGUUGGUGGGGUAAUGGCCUACCAAGGCGUCGACGGGUAGCCGGCCUGAGAGGGUGGACGGCCACAUUGGGACUGAGAUACGGCCCAGACUCCUACGGGAGGCAGCAGUGGGGAAUAUUGCACAAUGGGCGCAAGCCUGAGGCAGCGACGCCGCGUGGGGGAUGACGGCCUUCGGGUUGUAAACUCCUUUCAGCCAUGACGAAGCCUUCGGGUGACGGUAGUGGUAGAAGAAGCACCGGCUAACUACGUG